UACAGAGGGGGCAAGCGUUGUUCGGAAUUACUGGGCGUAAAGGGCGCGUAGGCGGCCUGUUAAGUCGGACGUGAAAUCCCCGGGCUCAACCCGGGAACUGCGUCCGAUACUGGCAGGCUUGAAUCCGGGAGAGGGAUGUGGAAUUCCAGGUGUAGCGGUGAAAUGCGUAGAUAUCUGAAGGAACACCGGUGGCGAAGGCGGCAUCCUGGACCGGCAUUGACGCUGAGGCGCGAAAGCCAGGGGAGCAAACGGG
rnacentral:rRNA from 1 species